ACCUGCCUCCUUCCUGUCCUCUCCCCUGCCUGCCAGCCUGCGAGCGUCCUGGGAGGUUUCACAGGCAGGCAGGCAGGCAAGCAGGCAGGCAGGGGAGAGCACGGGAAGGAGGCAGGC